CCUACGGGAGGCAGCAGUAAGGGAUAUUGGUCAAUGGGGGAAACCCUGAUGGUGCGACGCCGCGUGGGGGAAUGAAGGUCUUCGGAUUGUAAACCCCUGUCAUGUGGGAGCAAAUUAAAAAGAUAGUACCACAAGAGGAAGAGACGGCUAACUCUGUGCCAGCAGCCGCGGUAAUACAGAGGUCUCAAGCGUUGUUCGGAAUCACUGGGCGUAAAGCGUGCGUAGGCUGUUUCGUAAGUCGUGUGUGAAAGGCGCGGGCUCAACCCGCGGACGGCACAUGAUACUGCGAGACUAGAGUAAUGGAGGGGGAACCGGAAUGCUCGGUGUAGCAGUGAAAUGCGUAGAUAGCGGGAGGAACACUCGUGGCGAAGGCGGGUUCCUGGACAUUAACUGACGCUGAGGCACGAAGGCCAGGGGAGCGAAAGGGAUUAGAUACCCCUGUAGUC
rnacentral:rRNA from 1 species